rnacentral:rRNA from 1 species
CCUACGGGUGGCAGCAGUGAGGAAUAUUGGUCAAUGGCCGAGAGGCUGAACCAGCCAAGUCGCGUGAGGGAAGACGGCCCUACGGGUUGUAAACCUCUUUUGUCGGGGAGCAAAGCGAACCACGUGUGGUUCAUUGAGAGUACCCGAAGAAAAAGCAUCGGCUAACUCCGUGCCAGCAGCCGCGGUAAUACGGAGGAUGCGAGCGUUAUCCGGAUUUAUUGGGUUUAAAGGGUGCGCAGGCGGAGGUGCAAGUCAGCGGUCAAAUUGCGGGGCUCAACCCCGUACUGCCGUUGAAACUGCAUCCCUUGAGUGCGCGAGAAGUAUGCGGAAUGCGUGGUGUAGCGGUGAAAUGCAUAGAUAUUGCGCAGAACUCCGAUUGCGAAGGCAGCAUACCGGCGGCGAUCUGACGCUGAGGCACGAAAGCGUGGGUAUCGAACAGGAUUAGAUACCCCGGUAGUC